AAUUUCCCUAGUAACGGCGAGUGAAGAGGAAAGAGCUCAAAGUUGGAACCUGUUUGGCUUAGCUAAACCGGAUUGUAAACUGUAGAAACAUUUUCCAGAUACACUAGACAAAAAAGUCCUUUGGAACAGGGCAUCAUAGAGGGUGAGAAUCCCGUCUUUGGUCUAAGUAGUUGUCUAUUGUGAUAUGUUUUCAAAGAGUCAGGUUGUUUGGGAAUGCAGCCUAAAUUGGGUGGUAAAUCUCACCUAAAGCUAAAUAUUUGCGAGAGACCGAUAGCGAACAAGUACCGUGAGGGAAAGAUGAAAAGAACUUUGAAAAGAGAGUUAAACAGUAUGUGAAAUUGUUAAAAGGGAACCGUUUGGAGCCAGACUGGCUUGAUUGUAAUCAACCUAGAAUUCGUUUUGGGUGCACUUGCAGUCUAUGCCUGCCAACGACAGUUUGAUUUGGAGGAAAAAAUUAAUAGGAAUGUGGCCUCUCGAGGUGUUAUAGCCUAUUAUCAUACUCUGGAUUGGACUGAGGAACGCAGUGAAUGCCUUUAGGCAAGAUUGCUGGGCGCUUUCGCUAAUAAAUGUUAGAAUUUCUGCUUCGGGUGGUGCUAAUGUUUAAAGGAGGAACUCGUUUAGUAUAUUUUUUAUUCGCUUAGGUUGUUGGCUUAAUGACUCUAAAUGACCCGUCUUGAAACCA
rnacentral:rRNA from 1 species